rnacentral:rRNA from 1 species
AGAGUUUGAUCCUGGCUCAGGAUGAACGCUGGCGGCGUGCUUAACACAUGCAAGUCGAACGAAGCUGCCUGGAGGAAGUUUUCGGAUGGAAUUUAGGUAGACUUAGUGGCGGACGGGUGAGUAACGCGUGGAUAACCUGCCUUAUACAGGGGGAUAACGGAGAGAAAUUUCCGCUAAGACCGCAUAAGACCACAGCACCGCAUGGUGCAGGGGUAAAAUAUUUAUAGGUAUAAGAUGGAUCCGCGUCCGAUUAGCUAGUUGGUGAGGUAAAGGCCCACCAAGGCGACGAUCGGUAGCCGGCCUGAGAGGGUGAACGGCCACAUUGGGACUGAGACACGGCCCAAACUCCUACGGGAGGCAGCAGUGGGGAAUAUUGGACAAUGGGGGAAACCCUGAUCCAGCGACGCCGCGUGAGUGAAGAAGUAUUUCGGUAUGUAAAGCUCUAUCAGCAGGGAAGAAAAUGACGGUACCUGACUAAGAAGCCCCGGCUAACUACGUGCCAGCAGCCGCGGUAAUACGUAGGGGGCAAGCGUUAUCCGGAUUUACUGGGUGUAAAGGGAGCGCAGGCGGUUUUGCAAGUUGAGAGUGGAAGCAGGGGGCUCAACCCCCUGACUGCUCCCAAAACUGUAAAACUUGAGUAUGGGAGAGGCAGGCGGAAUUCCUAGUGUAGCGGUGAAAUGCUUAGAUAUUAGGAAGAACACCGGUGGCGAAGGCGGCCUGCUGGACCAAAACUGACGCUGAGGCUCGAAAGCGUGGGUAGCAAACAGGAUUAGAUACCCUGGUAGUCCACGCUGUAAACG